AGUGACAGGCAGAGAGAGAAGCAGGCUGCCCGCUGAGCAGGACCCUGGGAUCAUGACCUGAGCCAAAGGAAGAUGCUUAAUGGACUGAGCCACUCGGGCGCCCCUGAAGAAUCCUUUAUUAUGGGCAAGAAAGAGGUUGAGAAGUCAAUUUGGCCACAAACACUGACCAUUUCUUCUAGAGAAUGAAGGCUAACUCAGAGUAGGGCCAAGAACCACAGAGACCAACUUCCAGAGAAUAGGAUUAAGCGCUAAUUAAGGAAUUGGCUUGGUACCAGAAUUGCUUUCUGCACUGGUUUCAUCCCCUUUUUGAACGAGAGCAUCUAAUGCAGUUAUCCUGUGCCUACCUCCUUACUAUCUGUGGGGUUUGGAGGGGAUGACAACUUGUCUCUUUUAGUCACAGACCUUUAAUUAAGACAAGAAGGACCCUCUCAAAGCAACCACACCCAAGGGGCCUCCUCUUCUCAGGACCUGAUGUAGAUACUGAGGGCCUGGCCAAGACUUCAGGGGCCUUGGAGGGCCUUUGUCUGGAAUCUGAGCUGUCCCUGUGACCCACUUUGGCCCACAGAAAGCAGUGACAGUGAUACUGUGUGAUUCCUGAGGAGAGGGCCCAGGGAGCCUUUCAGCCUCCACCUGGGUCUGUUACAACACUUGCUCUAGAACAAGGCAACCAUCAUGUAAGAAGCUGGAUUCCUCUGAGACUGAGAUGCUAUGGAGAGGCCAAGCUAGCCAUGGGGAAAAUUCACAGGAGAAAGCAAGACAGUCAGCCAGACUGGGAUUGUUCUUGCCAUCCCAGCUGAUACCAGCUAUGAGGGUCAAGAUGCUGCCAUCUUGUUUGUACAAAUGAACCUGCAUUUGACUCUCGCCCUUUCCACCUUUUGACGGUAGCCAUGUGAGACCCCUUCCACCGGCCACCAAGUGACCCCUGAGCCAGUCAAUCCACAGAACUGUAAUAAAUAAAAAAUGAUUUCUUUUCGACAACUGAAAUUUGGGCUUUGUUAUACAGCAACAGAUAACCGAAACGUAAAAAACAUUGUGUGUUUUAAUUUAAAAAAGUGCAAAUUAAAAUGUAAAAGAUCAAAA